ensembl:lncRNA
CAUGAAGGUACUUUGUGUGAUUUCUCACAUGUUCAGGGCAGACCCACAGGACUCUUGUGUGCUUUGGAGAUGACACGAGUGUUUGAAAGGCACACAGCUGCACAGCCAGCUGGGGGCUGUCUGUCUGAAAGUAACGGCCUCUUGGUUCUCAGCUCAGAGAGUUCUGUCACAGAGGUGUAGCAGGUGUGAGUGCUGUCGGCACCAGGAUCCUGCUUCCUGUUAGCCACAGACAGAGAGGAGGAACAUCCAGCAAGUGCCUUCAUGCAGAGCCCUAUUUCUGCCAGUGGCAAUAUAAAUGCAGCAGCUGAAGAGGAAGCAAAGUCUUGGCCCUCUGCUCCAGCCAGCACCUUGGAAACGUUAACAAAGAGAACAAAUUGCCACUGUGUUUGCAAAGCUCUGCCAGGACCCUUGCUGACAUUGGUGAAAGUGAUAAUGACCAAAAAGGACUAUCAUGCCGUUCCAUUUCUGAAAGUUGCAUCUCUUUGCUGUGUUCUGACACAAGUUGUUAAAAAAAAUUUGCCACAAUUGUGCCUGAAGAGCUGAACAGCAAAAUUUGAAAAACCAGUAACCAACCUGCCAGUUUUAGUAAGAAUGAUUCAUUUGUACAUGCAGUCCACUCAUAAAAAAUCAUCAGAAUUGGCU